CUGAGAGUACUAGGUUCUGCCUAGCUACUUUUACCCAUGUUUUUACAGUACCAAAAGUUUCCUCGGCGGCUCUGCCCGCCGGUCGGACUCCAUUCAAACCCUUUGUAGUUGCAGUCAGCGUCAGAAAAAACUUAAUAAUUA
rnacentral:misc_RNA from 1 species